rnacentral:tRNA from 1 species
AUUUAUAUAGUUUAAUUAAAACAUUACAUUUUCACUGUAAAAAUAGAAUUUUCUUAUAAAUA